AUGAACGCUGGCGGCGUGCCUAAAACAUGCAAGUCGUGCGGCAGCAUGCCCUUCGGGGUGAUGGCGAGCGGCGGACGGCUGAGUAACGCGUGGGAAUCUGCCCCGAAGUGAGGAAUAACUGCCCGAAAGGGUGGCUAAUGCCGCAUAUGGUCUACGGAUUAAAGCUUCGGCGCUUCGGGAGGAGCCCGCGUAAGAUUAGAUAGUUGGUGAGGUAAUGGCUCACCAAGACGAUGAUCUGUAGCUGGUUUGAGAGGAUGAUCAGCCAGACUGGAACUGAGAUACGGUCCAGACUCCUACGGGAGGCAGCAGUUAGGAAUAUUCCACAAUGGGGGCAACCCUGAUGGAGCAACGCCGCGUGGAGGAUGAAGGCCUUAGGGUCGUAAACUUCUUUUCUUUGUGAUGAAUAUGACAGUAACAGAGGAAUAAGGGUCUGCUAACUACGUGCCAGCAGCCGCGGUCAUACGUAGGACCCAAGCGUUAUCCGGAUUGACUGGGCGUAAAGAGUUGCGUAGGUGGUAAUUCAAGCGAAUGGUGAAAUCUUGUGGCUCAACCAUAAGGCUAUUAUUCGAACUGUAUUACUCGAGAACAGGAGAGGUACCUGGAAUUCCCAGUGUAGGAGUGAAAUCCGUAGAUAUUGGGAGGAACACCAAUGGCGUAGGCGGAAUACUGGACUGUUUCUGACACUAAGGCACGAAAGCGUGGGGGAGCGAACUGGAUUAGAUACCCAGGUAGUCCACGCCGUAAACUAUGGAUGCUAGCAGUAAGCCGUAUCGACCCGGUUUGUUGCGAAGCUAACGCGUUAAGCAUCCCGCCUGUGGAGUACGAGCGCAAGCUUAAAACAUAAAGGAAUUGACGGGGACCCGCACAAGCGGUGGAGCGUGUUGUNUAAUACGAUGGUAAGCGUAGAACCUUACCAGGGUUUGACAUCCUUGGAAUUACUGUGAAAGCAGUGAGUGCCUUCGGGAAUCAAGUGACAGGUGUUGCAUGGCCGUCUUCAGCUCGUGUCGUGAGACGUUUGGUUAAGUCCAUCAACGAGCGCAACCCUUAUGGUUAGUUGUAUUUUUCUAGCCAGACUGCCCCGGUAACGGGGAGGAAGGAGGGGAUGAUGUCAGGUCAGUAUUACCCUUACACCCUGGGCUACAAACGCGCUACAAUGGCCGGUACAACGGGCAGCCAAGUCGUGAGACGGAGCAAAUCCCAUCAAAGCCGGUCCAAGUUCGGAUUGCAGGCUGAAACUCGCCUGCAUGAAGCUGGAAUCGCUAGUAAUCGCAGAUCAGCAUGCUGCGGUGAAUACGUUCCCNGGGU
rnacentral:rRNA from 1 species